AUUUUGAGCCUACUCGGCCAGGAAUCUGGAGCCAUUUCGAUCUUUUUAGAUGCUUUUUUUCAGUUCUUUAAGUGAAAGGUUUAAAGGGAGGGGAAGCUGGGAGGAAAAAGAAAAGUGAGAAAAGCAGAAAGGGAGGAGGAAAAAAAACUGGCCCAGUCCCAUCUCAAAGUCGAACAAAGUGCCAGUGGUGCAGCACCCUCACCAUGUCCACCCCCUCACGCCUCUUAUCACGUACAGCAAUGAACACUUCACGCCAGGAAACCCACCUCCACACUUACCAGCCGACGUAGACCCCAAAACAGGAAUCCCACGGCCUCCGCACCCUCCAGAUAUAUCCCCGUAUUACCCACUAUCGCCUGGCACCGUAGGACAAAUCCCCCAUCCGCUAGGAUGGUUAGUACCACAGCAAGGUCAACCAGUGUACCCAAUCACGACAGGAGGAUUCAGACACCCCUACCCCACAGCUCUGACCGUCAAUGCUUCCAUGUCCAGGUUCCCUCCCCAUAUGGUCCCACCACAUCAUACGCUACACACGACGGGCAUUCCGCAUCCGGCCAUAGUCACACCAACAGUCAAACAGGA
rnacentral:sRNA from 1 species